rnacentral:rRNA from 1 species
CCUACGGGAGACAGCAGUGAGGAAUAUUGGUCAAUGGCCGGAAGGCUGAACCAGCCAUGCCGCGUGAAGGUCAGUGCCCUAUGGGCGUUAAACUUCUUUUGUGCGGGAGCAAUAAUGGUCACGUGUGGCCAGACGAGAGUACCGUACGAAUAAGCAUCGGCUAACUCCGUGCCAGCAGCCGCGGUAAUACGGGGGAUGCAAGCGUUAGCCGGAUUUAUUGGGGUUAAAGGGUGCGUAGGCGGUGAGGUAAGUCAGCGGUGAAAUGCCCCCGCUCAAAGGGGUGAAGUGCCAUUGAUACUGCCUUGCUGGAAUGCGGAUGCCGUAGGAGGAAUGUGUGGUGUAGCGGUGAAAUGCAUAGAUAUCACACAGAACACCGAUUGCGAAGGCAUCUCACGAAUCCGCGAUUGACGCUGAUGCACGAAAGCGUGGGUAUCAAACAGGAUUAGAUACCCCUGUAGUC